UCACUCUCUCGUCUCUCCCCUCACCUCGUCAGUCGUCAGUUCGUCACUCUCAGUCUCUGGUCUCUCACCUCGUCGCUGUCUCUAUGUCUCUCACCUCGUCGCUCUCUCGGUCUCUCACCAGUGAAGCAGUGAACUAUAUUCGUCGGAACCAGUGAAGCAGCAUCUGCUCCCUCGGGUGGUGGUCGUCUUCUCAACCAGUCUCCAAUCCUCUGAGCUCUCACCGCCUCUUGGUGCCGAAAACUCCUCCUACAGCGUCGCCGAAUCUCACUGUGCCAAAACUCCUCACACUUCCCCGCUACCGACGACGCUGGACAGCACCAUUGCAGCGGCGGGGCUCUUUUCUCUCCCUCUCCCCUCGUCGUAGCGGUUCUCUCUCCCUGUCGUGCUCCACACACCAGCAGCACGCCGUCUACACCACACACCAGCAGCACGCACCAGAGCCAUCGUUCGCUGUCCUCCGCGAGUUCGUAGUCACUGUCGUCCUCGUGCUGUAGUCACCGCAGUAGCCAUUCCUCUGCAUCUAGAAUGGGGAUACCUCUUAGCUCUCAGGUAUAGGAUGCAUCCAGAGAUAUGCAAAUCCUCUUCAAGCACUAAAUAGGAGCCAAUUAUCUUGCAAAUCAGCACCAUUUUACUAGACCAAGUGUCUUGGCCUUUAUGUAUUCUAUAUCAUUGAUUUUUUUUUUGGUGACUCUAUGACUGAUUUGAAAAUAGCUUAAGAAGGUUGUAGUCCGUCGUAUAUGAUUAGAACAUGAAAUCUUUUUAAUGAAUGUAAAACCGAAAAAUCGAACCAAACCAACCGAUUUUAAUUGGAUUGGUUGGUUUCGAUAAAAAAACGGAACCAAGCCGAACCGAAGAAUUAAUACCAAAUUGGAUUGCAUGACUUUUCUUCCAAAAACCGAACCAAACCGCAAACCGAACACCCCUACCUCACUACUUCUUGCUUAUUGGUCAUAUAACUGAAUCUGAAACUUGAGAAGGGAGAGCAUAUAUACAUAAACAGUUACUUAGCUAGUAGCUACUCACUUUCUCUUCACUUGAGCUGUGAAAAAAAAUGUAUUCGUGCAUUCCUCACCAACUUUUUCUUCAGUUGCAUUCGCCGAGUUCCCGAAACCCAAAGAUUUUCCCCUCACGUGUUCCUUCUUCUCCGCGGAUUUUGAGGAUCUGCACUGUUUCAAUGAGUAAGGCUUCAAGUUACAUACCAGCUGCUCCAAUUUUUCUUCCUGAAGGACCUUGGAAGGAGAUUCCAGGAGGAGUUACUGCUGCAGAGGGAUUUAAAGCUGCCGGAAUGUAUGGAGGAUUACGUGCCAAAGGAGAAAAGCCCGACCUUUCACUUGUUACGUGCGACAUUGAUGCUAUAUCUGCAGGGUCAUUUACAACAAAUGUGGUUGCUGCUGCACCAGUAUUAUACUGCAAAAAGAUGUUAGAUAUUUCAAAAACUGCACGGGCUGUAAUAACUAAUGCAGGCCAAGCAAAUGCAGCUACGGGUGAAGCAGGUUAUCAGGACAUGUUAGAAUGUGUGGAAUGCCUUGCCAAGCUACUGAAAGUGACGCCAGAAGAAGUAUUAGUUGAAUCCACUGGUGUAAUUGGUCAAAGAAUAAAGAAGGGGGCAUUUUUAAGCUCACUUCCCACAUUAGUGGGUUCACUUUCAUCUUCAGUUGAAGGGGCAGAUGCUGCAGCAGUGGCAAUCACAACAACGGACCUUGUUAGCAAAAGCGUGGCAAUUGAGACUCUGGUUGGAGGGACUAAGGUAAGGAUUGGGGGAAUGUCCAAAGGCUCUGGGAUGAUCCAUCCAAAUAUGGCUACCAUGCUCGGCGUAAUAACAACUGAUGCCCGGGUAACCAGCGAUGUUUGGAGAAAGAUGGUGCAGGUUGCUGUGAACCGAAGUUUCAACCAGAUAACUGUAGAUGGAGAUACUAGUACUAAUGACACUAUUAUUGCUUUGGCUAGUGGAUUAUCUGGGUUGGGCUGUAUUUCUUCACUGGACAGUGAUGAGGCUACUCAACUUCAGGCAUGCCUAGAUGCGGUAAUGCAAGGUCUUGCCAAAUCAAUAGCUUGGGAUGGAGAGGGGGCAACAUGCCUCAUUGAGGUCAAUGUAGUGGGUGCAGAUAGUGAGGCUGAAGCUGCAAAAGUUGCUCGUUCUGUUGCAGCAUCUUCACUUGUAAAGGCUGCUGUGUAUGGCAGAGACCCUAAUUGGGGACGCAUUGCUGCCGCAGCUGGUUAUUCUGGGGUCUCUUUCCACCAGAAUAAACUUAGGGUGGUGUUGGGGGAUAUUUUGCUGAUGGUUGGUGGGGAGCCACAAUCAUUUGAUCGGUAGGACUUUCUGCUGUUGGUUAUUUUAGUUGAUUCUGGGUUGCUGCUAGUAAUUAUCUAAAAAGGGCUGGGGAGACUCACGGUACUGUUAGAAUUAACAUAUCAAUUGGCAACGGACUAGGACAUGGACAAGCAUGGGGAUGUGAUUUGAGCUAUGAUUAUGUAAAAAUUAAUGCAGAAUACACAACAUGACCCAAUAAAAAUCGCCAAACCUAGAUUGGCCAAAGUUUGAUUGCGCAUUGCUAAGAAGACCGGACCAGCAGUAUGUACUUGAAAUGCGCAUGAACGCACCAGAAAUGCUUUCAAUAUUUUCGAACAACUAAUAUCUAGUGGUGGCAAACAGGCCAACCGUCACUUGUCAACAGAAAAAGGGGUUGAGAGAGGCCGGGUAACCAAUUUUGGUAAUAUGAAAAUAAACAAGAAAUAAAAACUCAACAAGUAUGUUACUAUUCAGACUAAUGUAAACCACAACUAGUAGAUAAAAAAAAAAGUCUUGCAGCAAUGUAAACCACAACUAGUAGAUAAAAAAAAAAUAACAAUGUUGCCACUUUCAAUAUUCACAUAUUUAUUCAUUCAGAUGGUCAUUACUCACU